rnacentral:rRNA from 1 species
CAGAAGUUAAGCUCUUUAGCGCCGAUGGUACUUGGUGGGAAGCUGCCUGGGAGAGUAGGACGUAGCCGCGUA